rnacentral:rRNA from 1 species
GCAAGUCGAACGAGAAGCUCUAGCUUGCUAGAGUGGAUAGUGGCGAAAGGGUGAGUAACGCGUGAACAAUUUGCCCCUAAGCUCGGGAUAGCCUCGGGAAACUGGGAUUAAUACCGAAUGUGGUCUUCUGUCGCAUGGCAGAAUCACUAAAGAUUUAUCACUUAGGGAUGAGUUCGCGUUCCAUUAGCUAGUUGGUGGGGUAACGGCCUACCAAGGCGACGAUGGAUAGCUGGUCUGAGAGGAUGAGC